UACGUAGGGGGCAAGCGUUGUCCGGAAUCAUUGGGCGUAAAGCGCGUGUAGGCGGUUCGGUAAGUCGGCUGUGAAAGUCCAGGGCUCAACCCUGGGAUGCCGGUCGAUACUGCCGGACUAGAGUUCGGAAGAGGCGAGUGGAAUUCCCGGUGUAGCGGUGAAAUGCGCAGAUAUCGGGAGGAACACCAAUGGCGAAGGCAGCUCGC
rnacentral:rRNA from 1 species